CCCUGCAGGUCACAGUGGAUCCUUGGUUCCAUGAGGUCUGGCAGUGCAGCAAUGCUCUCCUGCGUUCUUACUGUCUUUUAUACCUCCUAUUCUCAGACAAUAGGACACCUAGUAGAUGAAGGGGAGUGGAAGUAGAUAUCCACUCGAGGAGUUAUGAUUCAUCUCUAAGAAGGAUUACCACCUCUAACAUCAGAAAGGAAAGGAGGAUAAUCGUGGUGAGUGACUCCCUUCUGAAAGGAACAGAGGGCCCCAUAUGUCAACCGGACCCACCCCACAGAGAAGUCUUCUGCCUCCCUGGGGCCAGUGUACAAGAUAAUACUGAGAGACUGCCUGGGCUGAUUUAGCCCUCUCAUUAUUAGCCACUGCUGAUACUCCAGGCUGGCAGUGCUGAGAUUGAAAAGGAGAAUGUCAGGACAAUUAAAAGAUGAUGCCAGCAGUUAUAUACAGACACAAACGCAAUGGGACCACACCUGAA